rnacentral:rRNA from 1 species
GACUAACGCUGGCGGCGUGCCUAACACAUGCAAGUCGAGCGGGGUAGCAAUACCCAGCGGCAGACGGGUGAGUAACACGUAGUCAACCUUCCCGACAGUGGGGGAUAACUAGCCGAAAGGUUAGCUAAUACCGCAUACGAUCUAUGAGAGGCAUCUCUUAUAGAUGAAAGGAGCAAUCCGCUUUCGGACGGGACUGCGUCCCAUUAGCUAGAUGGUGGGGUAAUGGCCUACCAUGGCAACGAUGGGUAGCUGGUUUGAGAGAGCGGCCAGCCACACUGGGACUGAGAAACGGCCCAGACUCCUACGGGAGGCAGCAGUGAGGAAUUUUUCCGCAAUGGGCGAAAGCCUGACGGAGCGACGCCGCGUGUGGGAAGAAGGGCCUUCGGGUCGUAAACCACUGUCGAAGGGG